CCUACGGGUGGCAGCAGUGAGGAAUAUUGGUCAAUGGGCGCGAGCCUGAACCAGCCAAGUCGCGUGAGGGAAGACGGUCCUAUGGAUUGUAAACCUCUUUUGUCGGGGAGCAAAAGACGCCACGCGUGGCGUUCCGCGAGUACCCGAAGAAAAAUCAUCGGCUAACUCCGUGCCAGCAGCCGCGGUAAUACGGAGGAUGCGAGCGUUAUCCGGAUUUAUUGGGUUUAAGGGGUGCGCAGGCGGAAGAUCAAGUCAGCGGUAAAAUUGAGAGGCUCAACCUCUUCGAGCCGUUGAAACUGGUUGUCUUGAGUGAGCGAGAAGUAUGCGGAAUGCGUGGUGUAGCGGUGAAAUGCAUAGAUAUCACGCAGAACUCCGAUUGCGAAGGCAGCAUACCGGCGCUCAACUGACGCUCAUGCACGAAAGUGUGGGUAUCGAACAGGAUUAGAUACCCUUGUAGUC
rnacentral:rRNA from 1 species